rnacentral:lncRNA from 1 species
UGGAGGAUCACAGGGCAGGUGGGGCAAUCCAGAGCUGUGGGGGCUUCCAUGGGAAUUGGGAGGUCCCAAGGCAGAGGUAGGGGUUCCACAGGAGGAGUCACAGAGCCACCAAGGGCUCUCCUGGCCCAGGGAGCAGUCAACACCAUGGACUGAACACCCACUGGGCUAAGCCCUGGGCCAGGCUGGGGCAUGUGGGGCCAGGAGGCAGCUCAGAGUGGGAGACAGAGAGACAAGUGUGCUCAGAGGGCACCCAUAUCUGCAUAUAACGUGGUCCUGAAUUUCUGGCUGGGAAGUGCUUCCAGGGUUUCAUAUGUGUUAUGGAGAUGCUUCCUCUCUCCAACCUCACCGUGCAGGAAUCCCAGUGAAUAUAUUGCCACCAUCUUGGAGCUCAGUGCCCUCAUAGUGUAACAGCACCAGCAGAUCUGCCUGUGCACAGACUUCCUGUACUACCUCACUCCUGAGGGGAGAUGCUUCUGCAGGGCCUGCGACCUGGUGCACAACUUUAGACACCAUCAUCCUGGAGCGGCACUGCACCCUCACUAGCCAGGGUGUUGAUGACUUCCUCAAUGCCAAGGCCACGUUCAAGAUUUUCGACUUCAGUGAUGCGUUUGUGCUGAGCAAGGUGGGCUUCUCCGGGAUCUUAAUUCAGGAGGUAGAAUGCAGCUUGAGAUCUAGUGUCUGAUCAAAGAACUUAAACUUGACCUGGAGGGCUCUGGGGAGCCAUGGAAGGUGCUGGAUAAAGGAGGGACAGUCAUAUAUGUUUUAGAGAUGACUGUGGAAGGCUGCCUGGAAGGAGUGAACAAGAGCCAGGAGACCAGGGAGGGAGUUUGUGGGGCAGGUCUGGAGAUGGCAAGGGAGGGAUCCUGCUUGGAUGAAAGGUCUUCAGGGACUGUCUCAGGUUACACUCAGGUGCCCUCAGAGCUACUGUGUUCAGGGUUCUUGUCUCCAGGAUGAAAAUAAGGAGGAGUUGUCAGACAAGGACAUAUACAUGGAGGCUGGCAUCUUCAUGAGUGCCAAUCGUGGUCCUGGUGUGGACUACUGUGGGAGCAGGGGUCUCUCCAUCCAGGGACAUGGUGGGUGGACCCUACAUCACUCCAUUCUGCCCUUCCUUUCCGUCCCAUUCUCCUGAGGGACUCAAUGCAUGGGCACUGUCCAACCUCUGGUGCUGAAGCAGCCAAGAGACCCAAGCCUGCCUUGCUGCCACUUAGGAUAUGACAGCACAGCCAGUGGCCUCUACUGGAUCCUGGUACCCCUCAGAAGACACCCAGACACUGGGAGUGCUGCCACCUCGUGGUGCAAGAGUUCUGAGGGACGGCAAUUCUGAAGACAUUGAAUGGUGGGUGCUGGGCCUCAUGGCUGUUCUCCAGCCCCUCUCAUUAGCUCUGCUCCAGGUGGAGAAGGGGGAUGAUGUCUCUGUCAGUUCUGCUGUUUUAGCCUAGCAGGAAAAGAAGCAGAGCCCAGAAGCAGGGCCUGGUACCCAGCCUGCCUAACAAGGGAGAAUUUGUAGGCUUUGUGGACAGAAAGAUCUGGGACUCCAUGUCACCCACCAACUUGCUGAGACAUUAGUAAAAUCAGUUUUCUUUUCUGAACUAUGUUUCUGUCAUCUGUACAUUGAGAGGAAUUUCUUUUACUCCACGAGGCUGCUUGGAGAAUUAGUGACAGUGUGUGUAGAGCAUGUGCCACCCAGCAGGCAUUUGGUGUCGAGACCACACCUCCUCCCCCUUCAUUUUCAGCCUAAAUUUGCAUUUUGUUCUUAAGACUUUCACUCGCCUUAAUUUUACUCUUUCCUCUGAUUCCCACCUUAUCGUCUAUCCCAUGGAGUCACUAGGAUCUAAGUGGGUAACAGUCAUGUAUGCAUGUAUGUGUAUGUACGUAUAUACUUUGUUGGUGUUGGAGUGUGGUGUGUGAAUGUGUGUGUGUGUGUGUGUGUGUGUGUGUGUUGGAGUUACUGGGUGACUGAAACUGUACACAUCAGGCUGUGGUUCUGCUCAUUGCUGGAAGCGCUGUCAGGGGUCCUGCCCUCAACCCCAGGUCUGACCCUUGCAGCGCAGGCAGGACAUUCUGGAGGAAUCAUGCCCUUGGGAGGAUCCCUGAGGAGUGACUGGUGGGUAUUGGUGGAUAAAUACCCCUGGUCCCUUGCUCUGGGUAUGAUGACUCUGAAGCACAUGUUCUGUGCUGUCUCUCAGAGGUACCUGGCAGGGCUGAGUCCUGGCUGCCACAGUGGAAACUUUCUUGAUGAAGGUCCCUUUAACUGCUGCAUUCCUUUCCUGUCUCAGUUCCCCACUCCUCCACUGAUGUUUCCUGGGAUUAACACCCUAAGGAAGAACUGGCAGUCGAAUUAAUAUCCUAGCGUUAUCUCCAAACAAAAUUUUUGUAUUUGAAUCUUUGCCUCGGGAUCUACUUCCAGGAAAUUCAGACUAAGACACACAUUUUUCUUUUGGCUCCUUGAAUCCCCAUAGGCCUGACAUUUUGCUGUUUUUAUCAAAAAGGAACAUGAGGAUCAGAGAGGGAAAGUCACUUGCCCAAAGUCACCCAGCUGAACAGUGGUAGAGUUCAACUUUGAUCAUGAGAUGUCUGGCCCCAAGGUGGAGGCUUGCUCCUCUCCCAUGGGACUCCUUCCUUAUCAGGGUCAAAUGAAUGAAUGGAGGAUGUUAAAAGUGGGGUCUCUGAUGCCUUUGCCAGAUAAACCCCAGGCUCAUGGCUGGCGCCUGUUUUCUCAUUCUUACCUCAUUAAGAGUAGUAAUGAAAAACAUGCUCAGUGCUGACCGUGUGCCUGGGGGUGUUGUAGGCACUCCACUUACUUUAAUUCAUUUAAUUUUCACAAUAACCUUGUUUUUACUUCUGGUUGUUAUAUGAAAGAACUGAGGCAAAGAGCAAUACAGAGAGUUGCAAAAAUUCAUACCGCUGGUCCAGGUUUGAACCAAACAGUCUGCACCUGGAGUCCUUGUUUGUAACCAUGGCACCCUGUCUUCACACAUAUCUCAUCGUGGAGUUCCAUCUUGUGUUAGGCAUGGCACUGAGCAGCUUCUUUUAAGAACAUAAUUUGUAGCCAGGCGCAGUGGCUUAUGCCUGUAAUCCCAGCACUUUGGGAGGCCGAGGCGGGCAGAUCACGAGGUCAGGAGAUCCAGACCAUCCUGGCUAACUUGGUGAAACCCCGUCUCUAAUAAAAACACAAAAAAUUAGCUGGGCAUGAUGGUUGGCGCCUAUAGUCCCAGCUACUUGGGAGGCUGAGGCAGGAGACUGGCAUGAACCCGGGAGGUGGAACUUGCAGUGAGCCGAGAUGGCGCGACUGCACUCCAGCCUGGGCGAGAGAGCAAGACUCCAUCUAAAAAAAAAGAAAAAAACAUGAUUUGUAAUUAUGUAAAUUACUAAUUCUACUUCAAAGUGCCACACAGCCUUCAUGUGAUAAAAUGAAGCAAUUGGUAAGUCUAAGCAUUGAGAACAAACAUUAUUUUUCCCAGCUCCAUUGCAACAGUUGGGACAGUGUUUUCUCUGUGCCUAUAGAAACCUCAGCUAGUGUGCCGAGGAAUCUGGUCCCUUUGGGGAAUGUGGCAGUCAGGUUCUGGCAGGGACCUCGAAGUGGCUGGUAAUGUCUUUCAUUACCACCACCACGUGACCUGGUCUUACGACCUGUUAGCUUCCUUCAUCAGGCAUGAGCACCAGGAUGGCAGGGGCCUCAUCUGUCCUGUUCCUCCUGUGGCCUGGGUCCUAGCACCAUGUCUGGUACAGUGUAGGUGCUCAAGGGAAGUUUACUUUAUAGAACUGUCUACCUGGGAGAUGUUGCUGUUAGUCUAACCUGUACCAUUUUGUAAACCUGCAGCCGUUUUGCACACCCUGGUCAGAAUGAAACAUUCCUUGGGAACUCGGGCCGUGAGAAGCAUCCUUCCUGAUCACCUGACUGUAGAAACAUCCUUAUCGCACCCUCCCGGGCAAAGGCCCAACAGCCUGACUGCAGGAACAUCCUUGCCAUAUCCUGCCGGGCAGCAAGCUCUACCGCCCACACCCCUCCUUCCCAGUCCCAUGAUCACCCCAGCCUGUGAGAGGCAGUUGGUGCUGGCAGUAAGCUGGUUUCCUCCUCUGCAGGGUUUUGCUAGUAAUAAAGGUGUUGCUGUUGAAGCCGUC